rnacentral:lncRNA from 1 species
AAGAACUUGUCACCUCUUCCUUCAGGCCCACAGCUGCCUCCUCCAAGCCCCAGAAAUCAGGAGUGUGAACAAAUGUGGAGGGAUGAACAUGGCAGCAGAAGGUGAAAGGGCUCUGUGGCUGUUGCCCAGCUAACAGUGUGUCUACUGUUGACAGUUUAUUCUCAUCAAGACAGUUUGUCAGGAAUCCUAACAGCCCAGUUCAGUAAUGUCAGGAUACACAAAUUAGCCGCAGUGGCACAAUCCAGCAGAAACAGCCAGGCCUCCACUGAAUUGGCACGAGUCAGCAGGAGUGACCAGGACCACCCAGAAUUCCAGGAAGAGUUCUCUGCAAUGCCUGCCAGUCCUUGCCUGCUUGCUUCCCCUCCCUACCUUUGGCUUGGUGCAUGGAGUGCCUUCUGUUAGGACAGUGAUGGAAAGUAAUGAGUGUCUGGACAGUGAGCUCCACAAUGCAAAGUUCUACCUCCCUCCGCUUGAGUAUGUGGAAAGGCACCAGCCACUGGACAAGAUAACUGGCUGUGAGUUUCCAGCUUCCUGAAUCAUCAGAACAUUCUGGAUCACAAGAACAUGGCUGAGCUUUCUACAAUAUACCUCAGCGUCACAAAAAAAGGAUGGGUCACCAGAAGAGCAACUGCCUCUCCUGUAGCCAGGGAGCCCCUGGAGGCAGAAACUCAACCAUCAGUGCCAUUACCAUGGAACUGUCACCCUCACAUCAUGGGAAGCACACCUGCCACACCUUGUCUCUUGGCAUCCUCAUAAGCAGUGGAGGGGCUUUGGAAUUCAAUCAAAUGACUCCACAAGCAACGGAAAGAGCCGUCUGAGGCACCUGCCCCCUUCAGCUUCUCCACACUCAGUAGAGGACACGUCAAUGGAGUCUAAG